GACGAACGCUGGCGGCGUGCUUAACACAUGCAAGUCGAACGGUGAAGCGCCUUCCUUUUUGGUGGGUGUGGAUGAGUGGCGAACGGGUGAGUAACACGUGAGUAACCUGCCCCCUUCUUCUGGAUAACCGCAUGAAAGUGUGGCUAAUACGGGAUAUUCUGGGUCUGUCGCAUGAUGGGUCUGGGAAAGAUAUUGUUUCGGUGGGGGAUGGGCUCGCGGCCUAUCAGCUUGUUGGUGGGGUGAUGGCCUACCAAGGCGGUGACGGGUAGCCGGCCUGAGAGGGUGGACGGUCACACUGGGACUGAGACACGGCCCAGACUCCUACGGGAGGCAGCAGUGGGGAAUAUUGCACAAUGGGCGCAAGCCUGAUGCAGCGACGCCGCGUGAGGGGUGGAGGCCUUCGGGUUGUGAACCUCUUUCGCCAGUGAAGCAGGCCUGCCUCGUUUGUGGGUGGGUUGACGGUAGCUGGAGAAGAAGCGCCGGCUAACUACGUA
rnacentral:rRNA from 1 species